GAUAAAGUGACUGAAAUAUAGGUAAUAAAUUGUAAAUUUAUUUAUGGCUUUAGAGCCCUUUAUCA
rnacentral:tRNA from 1 species